rnacentral:rRNA from 1 species
CGUAUACUUACGUUGGCGAGACGGGUGAGUAACGCGUGGGUAACCUGCCUUGCACUGGGGGAUAACACUUAGAAAUAGGUGCUAAUACCGCAUAACAGUAGGAGACGCAUGUCUUUUACUUGAAAACUCCGGUGGUGUAAGAUGGACCCGCGUCUGAUUAGCUUGUUGGCGGGGUAACGGCCCACCAAGGCAACGAUCAGUAGCCGGCCUGAGAGGGUGAACGGCCACAUUGGGACUGAGACACGGCCCAAACUCCUACGGAAGGCAGCAG